CCUACGGGUGGCAGCAGUUGGGAAUAUUGGGCAAUGGGCGCAAGCCUGACCCAGCAACGCCGCGUGAAGGAAGAAGGCUUUCUGGUUGUAAACUUCUUUUGUCAGGGACGAAGCACGUGACGGUCCCUGACGCUUAAGCCACUGCUAACUACGUGCCAGCAGCCGCUGCAAUACGUAGGUGGCAAGCGUUAUCCGGAUUUACUGGGUGUAAAGGGCGUGUAGGCGGGGAGGCAAGUCAGAUGUGAAAGCCACGGGCUCAACCGGUGUCCUGCAGUUGAAACUGUCUGUCUUGAGUGCAGGAGAGGCGAUCGGAAUUCCGGGUGUAGCGGUGAAAUGCGUAGAUAUAAGGAGGAACACCAGUGGCGAAGGCGGAUUGCUGGACAGUAACUGACGCUGAGGCGCGAAAGCGUGGGGAGCAAACAGGAUUAGAUACCCUUGUAGUC
rnacentral:rRNA from 1 species